rnacentral:rRNA from 1 species
GUGCCAGCAGCCGCGGUAAUACGGGGGGUGCGAGCGUUGUUCGGAAUUAUUGGGCGUAAAGAGCGUGUAGGCGGCCGAAUAAGUCAGAUGUGAAAUCCCUGGGCUUAACCCAGGACGUGCAUUUGAAACUAUUCGGCUAGAGUAGGGGAGAGGAAAGUGGAAUUCCUGGUGUAGAGGUGAAAUUCGUAGAUAUCAGGAGGAACACCAAUGGCGAAGGCAGCCCCCUGGGAUAACACUGACGCUCAUGUACGAAAGCGUGGGUAGCAAACAGGAUUAGAUACCCUGGUAGUCCACGCCCUAA